CCUACGGGAGGCUGCAGUCGAGAAUCUUUCGCAAUGGACGGAAGUCUGACGAAGCGACGCCGCGUGUGUGAUGAAGGCUCUAGGGUUGUAAAGCACUUUCGCUUGGGAAUAAGAGAAGACGGUUAAUACCCGUUGGAUUUGAGCGUACCAGGUAAAGCAGCACCGGCUAACUCCGUGCCAGCAGCUGCGGUAAUACGGCGGGUGCUAGCGUUAAUCGGAUUUAUUGGGCGUAAAGGGCGUGUAGGCGGAAAGGUAAGUUAGUUGUCAAAGCUCGGGGCUCAACCCCGAAUCGGCAUCUAAAACUAGUGUUCUAGAGGGUGGAUAGAGAAGAGGGAAUUUGACGUGUAGCGGUGAAAUGCGUAGAUAUGUGGAAGAACACCAGUGGCGAAGGCGGUUUGCUAAGUUAUACCUGACGCUAAGGCGCGAAAGCAAGGGGAUCAAACAGGAUUAGAUACCCUAGUAGUC
rnacentral:rRNA from 1 species